rnacentral:rRNA from 1 species
GAUGAACGCUGGCGGCGUGCCUAAUACAUGCAAGUCGAACGAGGUGCUUUUGUAGCAAUACGAGAGUAUCCUAGUGGCGAACGGGUGAGUAACGCGUGGAUGACCUGCCCCAAAGUGUGGGAUAACAGUCCGAAAGGAUUGCUAAUACCUCAUGUGGUUAUCGGUUUUAGAAAGCGAUAACUAAAGCAGCAAUGCGCUUUGGGAGGGAUCUGCGUCCCAUCAGCUAGUUGGUGAGGUAACGGCUCACCAAGGCGACGACGGGUAGGGGACCUGAGAGGGUGGCCCCCCACAAUGGAACUGAAACACGGUCCAUACACCUACGGGUGGCAGCAGUAGGGAAUAUUGCUCAAUGGGCGAAAGCCUGAAGCAGCAACGCCGCGUGUGCGAUGAAGGCCUC